rnacentral:misc_RNA from 1 species
UACGGAGGGUGCAAGCGUUGUUCGGAAUUAUUGGGCGUAAAGCGCGCGCAGGCGGACCAUUAAGUCUGGUGUGAAAUCCCUCGGCUCAACCGAGGACGUGCAUUGGAUACUGGUGGUCUUGAGUCCUGGAGAGGGUGGCGGAAUUCCCAGUGUAGAGGCGAAAUUCGUAGAUAUUGGGAGGAACACCAGUGGCGAAGGCGGCCACCUGGACAGUGACUGACGCUGAGGCGCGAAAGCGUGGGUCACGAACCGG